UGUGGAUCCCAGGAUUUGGUUCUGAAGAAAUACGGCCCUACAAAAAAGCUUGCACCACAGAAGCUCAUAAACAGAGAAUGGCAUUGAUCCGGAAAACAACCAAGAAAUAACACACGGAAAGGUCAGGGAAUGGACAACAAUGUAUUUGGAGAUACUUGAGCUGAGAUUUCAGCCAUCUCAUCCUUGGAAUUUUUUUUUUUAAAUGCUUUACAGAGAAGCAUAUAUUUUUUAUUAACAGUGCAGCAAUAUCUAUAAUGACUGAGAGGAUCUGCCAAAAGAAUAAAGCCUCCUACCCUUA